rnacentral:tRNA from 1 species
ACCUGACUGGCUCAGUUGGUAGAGCAUGCAACUUUUGAUUUCAGGCUCAUGAGUUCAAACCCCACAUUGGGUG